UACGUAGGGUGCAAGCGUUAAUCGGAAUUACUGGGCGUAAAGCGUGCGCAGGCGGCUUUGCAAGACAGAUGUGAAAUCCCCGGGCUCAACCUGGGAAUUGCAUUCAAAACUGGCUAACUAGAGUAUGUGAGAGGGGGGUAGAAUUCCAAGUGUAGCGGUGAAAUGCGUAGAUAUGCGGAGGAACACCGAUGGCGAAGGCAAUCCCCUGGGCCUGCACUGACGCUCAUGCACGAAAGCGUGGGGAGCAAACAGG
rnacentral:rRNA from 1 species